UACGGAGGGGGCGAGCGUUAUUCGGAAUUAUUGGGCGUAAAGGGCGCGUAGGCGGCUUCUUAAGUCAAAGGUGAAAUCCCUCGGCUCAACUGAGGAACUGCCUUUGAAACUGGGGAGCUUGAGUCCGGGAGGGGGUAGCGGAAUUCCCAGUGUAGCGGUGAAAUGCGUAGAUAUUGGAAGGAACACCAGUGGCGAAAGCGGCUUCCUGGUCCAGCAUCGACGUCAGGCACGAAAGCGUGGGGAGCAAACAGG
rnacentral:rRNA from 1 species